AAUAAGUUUGAUUCUUUAUCGGAUCAUAAAAACCCACUUUCUGAAGAUCUUUUCCUUCUCUUCGGGAUCGAACAUCAAUUGCAACGAUUCGAUAGACGGCUCAUUGGGAUAGAUGUAGAUGAACAACACCCCCCCUAGAAACGUAUAGGAAGCUUUCUCCUCGUACGGCUCGAGAAAAAUGAUUGAUUCGAAGUUUUGUCUUUGUAUGGAAUUCUAUCUAAGAAAUGACAACUGGAUCCAUAAAAUGAUCAAAGCAAUUAAAGAUCUAAGUCUUUUUUUCUUCGUUCUUCCUUAAAAUGAAAAAUAAACCAUUCGUACUCUCAUAACUCAAGUUGGAUAACUUUCAAACAGUUCAAAGGAAAAUCUUUCGGCAAUUUCAUUUAUUGAGCGGUCUUUCCUCCUUUUUUGUUUGUCUCGUUUAAAAUCGGAUUCUUCAGUCUGAUCCAGUUAUUAAGACAAUUAAAAAGGUGUUUCCUUGUUCUGGGAUCCUUUAUCUUUGUUUUAUUUUAAAUCAUUGGGUUUAGACAUUACUUCGGUGCUUUUUAAUCCUUUCAAAAUGGCAGCAACAUACCCUUUUUGCGAUUUUUAUGAAAGAAUCCUACAAGAUGAUGGAUUCCCUCGUGAAACACUUUGGAUCGAAAAAGUUUGAUCAAUUCCAAUAAAUUUUUUAAUUUGAAACUUGCUCGAAUUGGAUUCUUUCGAUUUCCAUACCUAAGAUAUAUUAGAUAUAUUUACGAAGUUGUUUCAAUUGUUUUAUUGAUUGGCAUUAACCCUAGACCCUUGCCCCGAGAAAGAAAUUAAUACUUUCUACUCGAGCUCCAUCAUGGACUAUUUACAUUCCAAGACAACAAAAAACGAGGGGUUCUAGUGAAACAGAACCAAUGAUGUCGAGUUAAGAGCACCUUCAUUCCUACAAAAAAUGGUGGAUGUACAAAUCCACAACGGAUCGUGUCCUUCAAGUCGCACGUUGCUUUCUACCACAUCGUUUCAAACGAAGUUUUACCAUAACAUUCCUCUAAGAACCGGUAUGGAAUUGAUUCAAUUAUGGAAUCAUGAAUAGUCAUUGGUUGGGCUGAUGUAUAAACACCAUAAUCUAAAGUAUUUUCUAUAUCUUCUAUAUCUAUAGUAUAUAGAUAUAAAUAAUACUAUAGAUUAAUACUAUAGAUAUAGGGUGGAUAAAUAUUUUUCUGAAGAAGUCUUAGUAAGACCCCAUCGCUAAUAUUAAAUUGUCUAACAUUAUAAUAUUAAUUAAUAAAUAUAUAUAAUAAAAAAUUUUUUUAUAUAAAUAAAAUAAGACGAAUAAACGAAUUCUUUUUAAUUCUGCAUCUUCACGUGACUUAAUAGGAGAGAAAGAUUCAGCUUCUAAGGAAUGAUUUAAACUAUUUCUCUUUCGAAAUUUCGAAUCAAUUUCGAAAGUUCCCCUCUCGACAUCAUUAUUCCAAGAAAAUUUGAUAGUUAAAAAUAACUUUUGAUCAUCUUAGGAAAAAAGAUAAGUCUUUUUUUUUUUUUUUUCAUCUGAUUAAUAAAAUCCAAAGAAUGGGGAGGGUUUCGUAUCUAUCAAUUCGAUCAAAUAGACUGAGCAAUUGUCACCGUUUAUAGAUAUUGAAAUGAACGCCUUCCCAUCACUGAUUAACUCCUAUCUACCCCAUUCUCUGGGACUGAUGCAGCAUAAAUCAAAAGAAGGGGAUGUCCUAGUCUUUUUUUUACGAAAUGCGAGCUGGCUGGGCACAAAGCCAAACAAGCCCAGAUUAAGUCCAGUUUUUGCUCCUUUUUUCUAUUUUAGCCUACCUCAUUGAUUAAGAAUUAAGAGACUUAGUGAAUUGAAUUAGUACCAAAAACCCCUUCUUGGCGAAAAGUCAAGAAAUCCACAAAAAAGCAAAUUGAAUCUAAUUAGGCUAAUUUAGGGGGUAGAGAAUAUGAGAUAGGGAAUAUGGAUUCUUUCGUAUCUCGAUUCAGUUUUUGAAAAAAAAAAAAACGAUUCAUCGAAGAAAAAAAUCAGAAACAACAAUCACAUUCCAGCUAACAUUUCGAUUUUAAACAGAACAUUGUUAAAAAAGCAAUCUAUAUUGUCAGAGAAUAUAUAUGUUCUGGGACGGAAGGAUUCGAACCUCCGAAUAGCGGGACCAAAACCCGUUGCCUUACCACUUGGCCACGCCCCAUUUAGAUUUCUAUGCGAUACUAAUAAAGUAUAUUGCUGGUUUUGUUUGUUUGUCAACUCUAGCCCAAAUAUCUAUAGAAUCGAUUAGAUUGGUAUUCGGAUUUUUCUAUGUUUUUGGUAUGUGUAGAUAUAGAAUUCAACUUAAUUUAUUGAUCAUUACAUAUAAUUCAAUUAAGAUAUUGUAUGAAAAUAUUAUUUUUUCGAUUCUCCUUUUCUCAAAGGAGGAUUUUUGAUUGGGUGGGUUCAAAGAAAAAGAAGGAUUUUUUGUUUACCUUACUUACUUUCCUUUUCCUUAUAACUUACUUUCCUUUUCCUUAUAUAAAUAACUCAAUCAAAAUGCAA
rnacentral:lncRNA from 1 species